UACGUAGGGUGCAAGCGUUGUCCGGAAUUAUUGGGCGUAAAGAGCUCGUAGGCGGUCUGUUGCGUCCGCUGUGAAAACUCGGGGCUUAACCCCGAGCCUGCAGUGGAUACGGGCAGACUAGAGGUAGGUAGGGGAGAAUGGAAUUCCCGGUGUAGCGGUGAAAUGCGCAGAUAUCGGGAGGAACACCAAUGGCGAAAGCAGCUCUCUGGGACGGUACUGACGCUGAGACGCGAAAGCGUGGGGAGCGAACAGG
rnacentral:rRNA from 1 species